rnacentral:lncRNA from 10 species
UCUCAGAUACUUAUAGAUAUGUAUUUUUGUGAUGUAUUACGAGGGUCAUGAAGUCUUCAAGGUCAUGUAUUCAGUGGUCCAUAUAGCAUAGAAAAUCUCACUGUACAUAGCUGGUGGGUCAUUCCACUUCUUCUUAAAUACCUGCUGUGAUGGAGAUCUCACCCCGGCCAAGGCAUUUGAGAGGUGCUACACCAAGUCAUCAAUAUGUCUCAGAAAAGGCUUUGUAGUGGUCUGGUGCCACUCAUUCCCAUCCCUCGCCUCUGCUUUGAUGUGUUUCCCAUUCCCAGAAGCUCAUUUGAGGGUGCAGAGUUCCUGGGAAGUGUCAAAUUGAGUCAUCAUUGGCUAAAUUCUUGCCCACCCUUCAUGAGGGAAUCCAGGAAUUUCAUGUCUAGAAUUAGCAAGUUGUGUGAAAAGAAGACUCUUGGUCAGGGUCAAUGGAACCUUCCAUGACUCUCAGCUAGCAUAUCCCAAGUCUAUACACAACUCUCCUUUUCCCAUCCCUACAGCUGUCAAUGAGGAAAAUGGUUUCAGGAGCCUGAGGGAGUCAAUGAAGAGGCUCAAAGAAAUCACUUGGAAUGUGCCUAGGAAGACACAGAUGCUCAUCUUUCUAAGUGCUUUCAUGUUGACUUACUGUGUGGAGGCCCAGAGACAGGAGGAAGGGAGCUUUAGAGCCAGCUCUUCCUGCAUGAUCUGUGUGCCUUCAGCCCCUGGCUCUGGAGGUCUGGGAAGGGUUGGCUCACGGAAGGAUGAUGCGGGGACAACUGAAUAUACCAGCCAGCCCAACUGCAUCAUUUUCCAGAGUGAAGGUGCCUGGACUGUAUGUGGGGCUGGGCCCCAGUCAUACAGCAAUGCCUCAGGUGCACAAAUGAGUUUUCUCAAGGACUGAUAUUUCAACUCUGAUAUAUUUUCCAAUAAUCAUUGAUAAAAAGUCUUUUCAAAAUUUAUUACGCAUUCCUUUGUCAUACAAAUAACAUUUGCCAAGCAUAAUUUAACCUUUUUUUUAACUACAAUUAUCAUCAAUUUGAUUGUGCAUUAAUGUGCUGGGUCAGAAAAAAAUUAUAUUGAGGUAUUUGAAGCUAUUUAUCCACAUACUGAAUAGCCCCAGACUGCUAACAUUCUAGUGUUCUUGGGUCUGAUCUAAAUAAUCCUAUU